UACGUAGGUGGCAAGCGUUGUCCGGAAUUAUUGGGCGUAAAGCGCGCGCAGGCGGUCUUUUAAGUCUGAUGUGAAAGCCCCCGGCUCAACCGGGGAGGGUCAUUGGAAACUGGGAGACUUGAGUGCAGAAGAGAAGAGUGGAAUUCCACGUGUAGCGGUGAAAUGCGUAGAGAUGUGGAGGAACACCAGUGGCGAAGGCGACUCUUUGGUCUGUAACUGACGCUGAGGCGCGAAAGCGUGGGGAGCGAACAGGAUUAGAUACCCUGGUAGUCCACGCCGUAAACGAUGAGUGCUAAGUGUUAGAGGGUUUCCGCCCUUUAGUGCUGCAGCAAACGCAUUAAGCACUCCGCCUGGGGAGUACGGCCGCAAGGCUGAA
rnacentral:rRNA from 1 species